GCGGGCGUCGCCAAGCGGUAAGGCAACGGCCUUCCAAGCCGUUAUUCGCGGGUUCGAAUCCCGUCGCCCGCU
rnacentral:tRNA from 1 species